rnacentral:lncRNA from 1 species
GACUUUUGCAGGGCUGUGCCUCCUUCCCUCCCCAGACAAAAUCCAUCACGUCAGCAGUCACAGGGCACCCUGGUUCCCUCUCUGAAUGAACUGUUAAAUGACUAAGCUGGCUCCCAACAGAGGCAGAGCCCAGCAAUAUGCGGCCUGUAAUCUGUCAGAUGAUACAGCAACAGGCCCAGUGAGGGGCCUGACACACCCCCCAGGAGAGUGGAGUCUCUGCAUGUGACGUGGAAGACGCCGAAGAGGUGAGGGAGGCACCAUAUGCUGCGGGCCUGCCAAGGGAGAAUAAACAGCACCGGAAGCCUGGCACAGAGCUCUGGCGGGAACGUCCACCAAGAUCGGUCAGGCACUCUCAUGGCGUCCUCCUGGAUACAGGCUUUUGCUUUUGUUUUUAAUUUUGGAGCAGUGAAGUUGAAAGUGAGGAGUGAGGACAAGGAGAAGACCCAUUUGCUCCUGUUCAUUCAAACAGCAUCUCUUCAUUUUGAAAUUGGCAAGAGGCAGUUCGGGGCUGUGGCAGGUCCUGUACACCACCUGUUGCCUCCCAAGUCACUGUGCCUUUCUGGCUUUCUUUACCUAUGUCCUGUAAAACGCCAGUUAAUAAAUGCUCCAUAUGCAGCACCCGUUGGUUUGCAAACUCCAUAGAAGAACUUCUGAUAAUCUCACAUCUCUGAACUUGAUUUAGGGCAAGAACUCCUCUACAUCUUCAACAUUUUGUAGAGCAUUCCCUGCGAUGUGGAAAAUUCUGCUGGGCUAUUCCCUGAGGACACCUAUACCUUUCGUGUCCGGAAUUGGUGGGUUCUUUGUCUCACUGACUUCAAGAAUGAAGCCGCGGACCCUCGCAGCUCAAGCAUAUCUGAAUCGAGAAAAGCAGACAUGAUUGAAGCGCAUUUAUCUCCACUAAUUAAGAGGCUUAUGCCAGGCUGAGCUGAGAUUGUAACACCAGAUGAGCCUCCAUUUCAUCCCCCUACACCUGGAGAAGCUCUUGUAGGAGGAAGGCUCAUGGAGACACUUUAAACUGGAAGCAAGAGACCCCAGGGAAGAGUGUUCUUAGGCAGAGGGAACAUAACAUGCUAGCGUGCUAUGAGGGGGACCUCAGCUGAUUGGAUGAUGCCCACCAUAUUGGGGGAGGAUCUUCCCCACUCAGUCUACCAACUCCCAUGCCAAUUUCCUCCAGAAACAC